rnacentral:rRNA from 1 species
AUUGAACGCUGGCGGUAUGCUUUACACAUGCAAGUCGAACGGUAACAGGUCUUCGGAUGCUGACGAGUGGCGAACGGGUGAGUAAUGUAUCGGAACGUGCCUAGUAAUGGGGGAUAACCACUCGAAAGAGUGACUAAUACCGCAUAAUAUCUCAGGAUGAAAGCGGGGGACCGUAAGGCCUCGCGUUAUUAGAGCGGCCGAUAUCAGAUUAGGUAGUUGGUGGGAUAAAAGCCUACCAAGCCAACGAUCUGUAGCUGGUCUGAGAGGACGACCAGCCACACUGGGACUGAGACACGGCCCAGACUCCUACGGGAGGCAGCAGUGGGGAAUUUUGGACAAUGGGCGAAAGCCUGAUCCAGCAAUACCGCGUGCAGGACGAAGGCCUUCGGGUUGUAAACUGCUUUUGUACGGAACGAAACGGUUCAGAUUAAUACUCUGAACUAAUGACGGUACCGUAAGAAUAAGCACCGGCUAACUACGUG